ensembl:lncRNA novel transcript
AAUAGGUAGAGGUCACCAGCAUAGGUCAGAGGGGAUAUUGUAUGUAACUGGUGACAUUUGAAAGAGACAUAUUGGACAGAAAUGACAUACGUGAAAGCUAAGAUACAAUAUAUUUAAUUUUCUAAGAAUUCAGUUCAAGGUAGUCUGCCUGGUUUCUCAAGUUCUGCAUGUUUCUUCAGUAGACUAAAUAAUGAUAAGGAAGCUGAGAUGUAGAGCUGAAGUGUCUUGCCCAAGAUCAUUUGUCUAAUGCUGACCUCACAGACUCCCUGAAAGGAUCUCCAUGACCUCUAUGGUUCCUUAGACUGCACUUUGAGAACUAUUGACGUACAGGGAAAAAUGCUCUUGGUGUUCCAGUUAAGCACAGAAUAAAAUCUGGACUGUGUCAGUUUGUAAAGAUCUUAUGUCUACUUGGUCAUCAGCCAAGAAGGGAUUCCGAAGAUAGAAGAGGAGGCAUCAACACCGUGAACAUCAUGGCUGAGUUAUUUUGUGAGAGGGAUAAGCCUAAAGUAAAAACCUUGGAUUUGCCUCUGUCCUUGAACAUGCUAUCUGGAAAGAGUUUUCUUAAAAGUAUUGUUGUGAACACAUCCAUUUUCCCAGUAUAGUUGAAUGCAGGGUUUAAUAAAUGGAAUGAAUCU